rnacentral:misc_RNA from 1 species
GAAAUGCGAUAAGUAAUGUGAAUUGCAGAAUUCAGUGAAUCAUCGAAUCUUUGAACGCACCUUGCGCUCCUUGGUAUUCCUUGGAGCAUGCCUGUUUGAGUAUCAUGAAAUCUUCAAAGUAAAUCUUUUGUUAACUCAAUUGGUUUCUACUUUGGUAUUGGAGGUCUUUGCAGCUUCACACCUGCUCCUCUUUGUUCAUUAGCUGGAUCUCAGUGUUAUGCUUGGUUCCACUCGGCGUGAUAAGUUAUCUAUCGCUGAGGACACUGUAAAAGGUGGCCAAGGUAAAUGCAGAUGAACCGCUUCUAAUAGUCCAUAGACAUGGACAAUACUUUUAUGAUCUGAUCUCAAAUCAGGUAGGACUACCCGCUGAACUUAAGC